UUGAGAGAGAUAGAGAAAGAAAAAUAAUUCUUGACAAGAAAAUUAGUUUUCUUGGUCUUUCACAUUUUAGCUAUAGUUUUUGAGAAAAACUUUAGCAUAACAUUUCCGUUCAAUUUGUUCGCGGGUUUCAUUUAUCAAAGAGUUGAUAAGCAAGGAUCGGUCUUUUAGCAUAACAUUUUCGUUCAAUUUGUUCGCGGGUUUCAUUUAUCAAAGAGUUGAUAAGCAAGGAUCGGUCUUGGUGUGGAUACGCAUAGAGUCUUCGCACUAUCGGAGAAAUUUCAGAAAAGAAACUCUCUUCACCAGGUACGCCUUAAAUCUUAUUUUUAUACGUAAAUAAAUUUUUUAAACACGAGAAAAUCUACCUAGGAUUGUUAUUGUCUUCCGCUGCGUGUUACGAACACCCAUACGUAAUCCGACAGAGACUAUAUCAGAUUUGAACAACUUGAAGCUGUAAUUAGGACCCCAUUCUAGUAUAGGAAAAACAUACUGAGCACCAAGAAUUAGCUUCUGUUUCAAUGGCUGACCUUUGAAUUGACGUAAAGGGUCAUCAGGGAAAAAGGUUUCUUUAAGCCUAUUUUUGAGUUUUUGGAAAGUGCUUCUAUGGGGUGGAGAAACAACUUUGUGUACCUCCAUAGCUGUUAUAUCUAUAACUCUGUUCUCAUUAUUUGGUUCCAUUUUGGUCUAAUUAAUGAGAAUGGAUUUGAAUGCAAAAUGUCUAUGGUUCCUUUCCUCCUAUUUAUAUUUCUAUCAACUUUCAAAAAGACAACUACCAAACAAACUAGUACUAUUCCACUUGAUAAUUUCUAUACCUUGGAAAAAGAACAAAUAACCCUAAAAUUGUUUUUAGGAGGGACUGAAAAUAAGAAGAAUGUAACAGUAGUGGUGUUGAAUAUUUUUCCUUGACCAGAGACUUUGGGCGGACUAAAUUUAUAGGUAAAAAAUGGACAUGUAGAAUCUAAAAGGUGAUCACAAAUCUAGUUAAUAUUUGAGUAGAAAUAUCAAACAAGUAAUCUUACUCAAGACUUGGCAUUUGUAUGGAAGGUAAUAGUUAGUGUUAUUGUUCAAAAGAUGGAGAAAGAGAAGUUGGAUAAGAUUCUGAUGAAAAUAAGGUGAGAUUUUGUGAUAGGUACAUAUAUAUCCAAGUAAUAUAUGAAAUGGGAAAAAUGAGAAAAUUAAUAGAGAAAUUUCAUUAAAUGGAAGGGUGCAUUUUUCUAAGAAGGUUAUGAAAUUUAUACAAAAAAUAUAGAGUCAAGGGUCAAGAUUAUAAAUGAAGAGUACUCAGAGUCUCAGAGGGAUAGUUUUAUAUAAAGUGAUAUGUGGAGGUCGGUAUGGCGGCAAACUGCUCUUUACUAAUUUUUAUUUUAUCUCAUCAUAUAAAGAUUUUUUUUUGUAGAAACUUCGCAGUGGGAUGAAAUACAAAUAAAAUACGAGAUCACAUAAGGCUAUGUUUAGUAAUUAUUUUUUUUCUCUUACUAAUGUUGUAGACAAGAGGGGUUGCUCGCAACCCCCACUUCCAACCGAGAGAUUGUUAGUUCGAGUCUCCCUAAGAGCAAGAUGGGAAGUUUUUGGAGGGAAGGAUGCCGGGGAUCUAUCUGAAAAUAGCCUCUCUACCCAAGGAUAGGGGUAAGGUAUGCGUACAUACUACCCUCCCCAGACCCCACUAAGUGGGAUUAUACUGGAUUGUUGUUGUUGUUGUUACUACUAAUAUUGUAAUUUCACCUUUUUGAUCAAAUUAUUCUUUAAUAAUUAUAUAUCUUCUAGUAUUCAAGAUCUCGGUGUUGUUUUAGGAAAGAUAUUUUGUGAAUUAGAAAAUAUUUUUAAGGAUAAAAUAAUAUAAGUUUUGAUCAAAUAAAAAUAUUUAUAAGUUGAAAAGUCUUGGGGUGACCAACUUAGCUCAACUUAUGGCGUUGAUUGAUUUUGAUAAGUUGAAAAGUCUUGGGGUGACCAAAUUAGCUCAACUUAUGACUUUGAUUGUUUUUUGGUUUAUAAGCACUUUCCGAAUUUAUCAAUCACAUAAAUAAAUCAAAAUAUACAUUAUAAACUUAGUCAGACAUUCUCUGCAUUGCUACAGUGAAAUAACAAUUGGAUUGAUCAAAUAAAAUUUAUGUCCAAAAAGGAUCUUUUAACUUGCUCUGAAUAGAUUAUAGCAAUUAGAUUUUCAAGGAUUUCUUGAUAAAAAUUCUCAACAAGAUCUAUAUUGGAGUACUUUUAUUAAUUUUGCAUUCAAGUAAAUAUACCUCUUAUGUCAUUAUUUGGUGCAGAGUUGCAAAUUCAGCGCUAGAAUGACGUCGGCUUACUUAAUUUUACUUUUGAAGGUGAAAUACGAAUAAAAUGUUGAUAUGAAUUGAUUAUAUCUUUUUCUUUUUAUAUUCUGCUUUAUUAAUAAGGCACGAAAAUAAAGUAAUACUUACACAUGUCUGAAUAUCAUGCACACAAUAGAAAGUUCUCAAAUUUGUUUGAUUUACUGGCUUGCCUAUUCCUCGCUAAAAUCGUUGUUACACAAAUAGUCAAUUAAAUUUACUUUUUUACUUUUUUUAGUUAGUAAUUCAAUAUAAAUUAUACACAAUUAUAUAUAUAUUAUAUAUA
rnacentral:lncRNA from 1 species